UACGUAGGGGGCAAGCGUUGUCCGGAUUUAUUGGGCGUAAAGAGCGUGUAGGCGGCCAAGCAGGUCAGCUGUGAAAACUCGAGGCUCAACCUCGAGACGUCGGUUGAAACCGCUUGGCUAGAGUCCGGAAGAGGAGAGUGGAAUUCCCGGUGUAGCGGUGAAAUGCGCAGAUAUCGGGAAGAACACCCGUGGCGAAGGCGGCUCUCUGGGACGGUACUGACGCUGAGACGCGACAGCGUGGGGAUCAAACAGG
rnacentral:rRNA from 1 species